AGAACGAACGCUGGCGGCAUGCCUAAUACAUGCAAGUCGAACGAACUCUUCGGAGUUAGUGGCGCACGGGUGCGUAACGCGUGGGAAUCUGCCCCUUGGUUCGGAAUAACAGUUGGAAACGACUGCUAAUACCGGAUGAUGACGAAAGUCCAAAGAUUUAUCGCCAAGGGAUGAGCCCGCGUAGGAUUAGCUAGUUGGUGAGGUAAAGGCUCACCAAGGCAACGAUCCUUAGCUGGUCUGAGAGGAUGAUCAGCCACACUGGGACUGAGACACGGCCCAGACUCCGUACGGGAGGCAGCAGGUAGGGAAUAGUUGGACAAGUGGGACGAAAGCCUGAUCCAGCAAUGCCGCGUGAGUGAUGAAGGCCGUUAGGUUAGUAAGUCUACGUUUACCGAGAUGAUAAUGACAGUAGCGG
rnacentral:rRNA from 1 species